rnacentral:rRNA from 1 species
UACAGAGGGUGCGAGCGUUAAUCGGAAUUACUGGGCGUAAAGCGCGCGUAGGCGGCUUUGCAAGUCGGGUGUGAAAUCCCCAAGCUUAACUUGGGAACUGCAUUCGAGACUGCAUUGCUAGAGUAUGGGAGAGGGAAGUGGAAUUUCCGGUGUAGCGGUGAAAUGCGUAGAGAUCGGGAGGAACACCUGUGGCGAAGGCGGCCGACUGGGCCGACCCUGACGCUGAGGCGCGAAGGCGUGGGGAGCGAACGGG